GACGAACGCUGGCGGCGUGCCUAAUACAUGCAAGUCGAACGCAGUGGGUACGGGUGAGUAACACGUGGGUUACCUCCCAUCAGAGGGGAUAACACUUGGAAACAGGUGCUAAACCUAUAUUGCUGGCUGGACUCGCGGUGCAUUAGCUAGUUGGUAAGGUAACGGCUCACCAAGUCAACGAUGCAUAGCCGACCUGAGAGGGUGAUCGGCCACACUGGAACUGAGACACGGCCCAGACUCCUACGGGAGGCAGCAGUAGGGAAUCUUCGGCAAUGGACGAAAGCCUGACCGAGCAACGCCGCGUGAGUGAAGAAGGUUUUCGGAUCGUAAAACUCUGUUGUUAGAGAAGCGGUAUCUAACCAGAAAGCCACGGCUAACUACGUGCCAGCAGCCGCGGUAAUUC
rnacentral:rRNA from 1 species